rnacentral:rRNA from 1 species
UGGGGAAUAUUGCACAAUGGGCGAAAGCCUGAUGCAGCAACGCCGCGUGAGCGAUGAAGGCUUUCGGGUCGUAAAGCUCUGUCCUCAAGGAAGAUAAUGACGGUACUUGAGGAGGAAGCCCCGGCUAACUACGUGCCAGCAGCCGCGGUAAUACGUAGGGGGCUAGCGUUAUCCGGAUUUAUUGGGCGUAAAGGGUGCUCAGCUGGUUUAUUAAGUUUGUAGUUAAAAUUCGAAGCUCAACUUCGAAGUGCUGCGAAAACUGGUAGACUUGAGUACAGAAGAGGGUAGUGGAAUUCCAUGUGAAGCGGUAAAAUGCGUAGAUAUAUGGAGGAACACCAGUGGCGAAGGCGGCUACCUGGUCUGUAACUGACGGUCAAGCACGAAAGCGUGGGGAGCAAAUAGG